rnacentral:rRNA from 1 species
GACAGAGGGUGCAAACGUUGUUCGGAAUUACUGGGCGUAAAGCGCGUGUAGGCUGCUCCGCAAGUCGGGUGUGAAAGCCCUGGGCUCAACCCAGGAAGUGCACUCGAAACUGCGAAGCUUGAGUCCUGGAGAGGAAGGCGGAGUUCUCGGUGUAGAGGUGAAAUUCGUAGAUAUCGAGAGGAACACCGGUGGCGAAGGCGGCCUUCUGGACAGUGACUGACGCUGAGACGCGAAAGCGUGGGGAGCAAACAGG